rnacentral:rRNA from 1 species
GACGAACGCUGGCGGCGUGCUUAACACAUGCAAGUCGAACGGAAAGGCCCUGCUUUUGUGGGGUGCUCGAGUGGCGAACGGGUGAGUAACACGUGAGUAACCUGCCCUUGACUUUGGGAUAACUUCAGGAAACUGGGGCUAAUACCGGAUAGGAGCUCCUGCUGCAUGGUGGGGGUUGGAAAGUUUCGGCGGUUGGGGAUGGACUCGCGGCUUAUCAGCUUGUUGGUGGGGUAGUGGCUUUCCAAGGCUUUGACGGGUAGCCGGCCUGAGAGGGUGACCGGCGACAUGGGUACUGGGAGACGGCCCAGACGGCUACGGUAGGCAGCAGUGGAGAAUAUUGCACAAUGGGCGGAAGCCUGAUGCAGCAACGCCGCGUGCGGGAUAACGGCCUUCGGGUGGUAAACCGCUUUCGCCGGUGACGAAGCGUGAGUGACGGUAAUUGAUAAAGAAGCACCGGCUAACUACGUG